UUUCCUUGAAAGCCUAUUCUUCUAUCUGAUACUCUCCUAACAUAGAAGACACCGGCCACAAACUCAGGAAGGGCCCGAUGAUGUCAACCACGAGCUUUCGAAAUCAGAAUACAAGGAACUCCCCGAGCUCUUCACUACGGCAGUCCCAAUACGAAAACUCAACUCGAUCGCGUAAGCUGCAUCUUCAUUAAUAUGGCGCGGAGGUGGAGCCGAGCAGAGGAAGAUCGCAUUGCCUCUCUGGUGGAUCUAUGCGCUGGAACCACUCGGCAGCUUAAGCAAAUUCACUCCCACGUCGUAGCCAUCGGCCAAUCUCAAAACAACUUCGUCGCUGCAAAGCUUGUGAGAACUUUUGCAGAACUGGGUAGCCUAGAACAUGCCCGAGCUAUAGUCGAUGACCUAAUUAGCCCAAAUAUCUUUGUGUGGACUGCUUUAAUUAGAGGCUAUUCUCUUCAUCCAUGUCUUGAUAACUCUGGUAGCCAUCAGGCAAUCUCGCUUUAUGAACGGCUUCGUCAGUUUUACCCUGCGGUAAAACCGCUUUCCUUCACAUUAUCAUCAGUUCUCAAGGCGUGCGCUCAGCUUCGGGCCCUUGGUGAAGGAGGACAAAUUCAUUCUAAUGUUUUCAAGCAUGGUUUUCUGGUAGAUUCCCGUGUUCAAACAACGCUUAUCGAACUGUACGGGAAAUGUGGCCAUUUAAGAGAUGCACGGAAAGUGUUUGAAGAAGUGGUUACAAGAGGGGAACUCGAUAUACAAGCAUGGAAUACGCUUGUUGUCGCGUACGCGGAGGCAGGGGACAUGGAGACUGCACGAAACCUGUUUGAACAAAUGCCUGUUAAGAAUACACAUUCAUACAUUGCAAUGAUCAACGGCUAUGCUGCGGUUAGCAAGAUGAACCUUGCUCGUCAGCUCCUUGAUGAGCUAUUCUCCUCAAAUGAGAAAAAUUCAGUUGUCUUCACUGCCAUGAUCACUGGGUAUGCAAAGUCUGGUGAUCUGUUAGCCGCUCGUCAAAUGUUUGAUGAAAUCAAUAACAAAGAUGUAGCUUCAUGGAAUGCAAUGAUCACAGCUUAUACUCAUGCUGGACUCACUGAAGAAGCAGUGGCCCUGUUCCACCUGAUGCUGGAUAUAAGCAAUGGCCAAAAUGCUCAUCCCAACCCCACUACUAUAGCCACCAUUGCUUCUGCCUUUGCACAAUCCGGGUCUCCCAGCCAAGCAAGCUUUCUCCAAGCCUACGUUGACCACCAUGGCACUGAGUUACUCAACGGUCACACCAUUGCUGCCCUCAUAGACCUUCAUUCAAAGUGCGGAAAUAUCGACAAAGCUUACAAUCUCUUCUGCAGAUGGAAGCAAAAGGACUUGGUUUGCUACAGCGCGAUGAUAGCUGGGUUUGGGAUUCAUGGAUGUGCUGAGAAAGCAAUCAAACUAUUUGAGGAGAUUCAGGAAGCCAAUUCAAAGCCAGAUGCAAUAUGCUUUGUAUCACUUCUUUCAGCUUGUAGCCAUUCAGGCAUGGUAAAGGAGGGAAAGAAGUAUUUUGAACUCAUGAGAAGUAAGUACUGCAUCACUCCAACGGCAGAGCACUAUAUGUGCCUUGUGGACUUGCUUGGGCGGGCUGGGAUGGUCGAAGAAGCUUAUAGAUUGAUUACUGAAGGAAUGCUGGUAGGAGUGAGGCCUAAUGCUGGAGUUUGGGGAGCUUUAUUAAGUGCUUGUAGGAGUUAUUGUAAUGUAGAGAUUGGGGAGAUAGCUGCAAGGUGGUUGAUAGAGAUUGAACCUGAGAAUUCUGGGAACUAUGUGUUGUUAUCAAAUAUUUAUGCGAAGGUAAGACGGUGGGAUGAGGUUGCGUGGGUGAGGGCAGCAAUGCGGAGAAAGGGGAUAAGGAAGGAGCCUGGUUGGAGUUUGGUGGAGAUGGAGGGUGGUAGAAGAAGUAAGUUCAUUACUGGGGAAGCUUAUGACAUGGAAUUGGAGGCGGUGCUGGUGGCCUUGAGCUGGGAGUUGGAGGACUAUGGCUACAUUCCUAACAUGGAUGAAAUUGAAGACUAAGGGCAUAAUUUAUUUGAGGAGAUUGAACUCAGAAGUUUCAAGCACAAGCGAAGAGACCACCCCGACCCAAAAUAGUGUCAUAAACCAGCCUUGGCGCCUUGCACAACAAAUUGCCGGAGCUUGUAUGCUACUUUUCUUACUUGUUCUCGCUUCUCGAUGACGAAAACCCUAACGAAUUCAGAAAUCUCAAUGGUGAAAGAAUCGGCGUGAGAGGGCGUAAGUAGGGACAAAUAAACUAAUUCAACCGGAUUCUUCGAGUAGAAAUCCUGCGAGCAGCAAAGGAUGGAAAGGAAUGCUCAAGACUUUUGAAAGUAGCCCCAAAUGUGUAUCAUGCGCUUAAAAAUGGCAAUGCGGUUGUUGCAUUGGAGUCAACAAUAAUUUCACAUGGCAUGCCAUAUCCACAAAAUCUUGAGACUGCUAAAGAAGUUGAAGCUAUUGUGAAGCAAAAUGGGGCUAUUCCUGCAACAAUAGCAGUACUUGAUGGCGUUCCAUGUAUUGGCUUUGGACACUUUGCUUCAGCUUCGAUGCCUGCAUCAUAGUAUUUAAAUGAUGAUGCCAGAAUAAAGAACUGAUGGCCAAGUUCAUACCCAUGCAAUUAAGAAUCAAGUGGUUUUGUUUCCAUUUGAAUAUUCAAAGUAUCUAUGCUAUGAGAAUAAUCCAAUUGGCUUAGAUUACAUAUUUUUCUAAAUUUCUUCAUUAAAAUUAGUCUUAUACCAUCAAUUUGAGAUCUUUUUUUGAAUAAUUGUCCAUUCAUGUCUGCAAUCAAAUGCCUGUACUUUUUUCCUUGGGUGGAUGUAUGCUUUGCUAAUUCACUAGCUGUAACAGCUAGCAUGUUGUGUAUGCUAUAGCAAAUUUAUAUAUCUUAUUCCAAGUUGUUUGUGAUUGUGCGCGCUCUUGUAUGCGUGAUAAUGUGCUCUCUUUAUUAUCAUUUUGAUUAAUGUUAUGAGAUAACAAGUUGUAGCUAAUUUUUCAUUUGUAUUUC